GAUGAACGCUGGCGGCGUGCCUAAUACAUGCAAGUCGAGCGAACAGACGAGGAUCUUGCUCCUCGGACGUGAGCGGCGGACGUGUGAGUAACACGUGUAUAACCUACCUAUAAGACUGGUAUAACUUCGAGAAACCGGAUCUAAUACCGUAUAAUAUAUUGAACCGCAUGGUUCGAUAGUGAAAGACGGUGUUGCUGGCACGUAUAGAUGGAUCCGCGCCGCAUUAGCUAGUUGUUAAGUUAACGGGUUACCAAGGCAACGAUGCGUAGGCGACCUGUCAGGGUGAUCGCCCACCUGAGAAGUGAGACAGGGUCAAGAGUACUACGGGAGGCAGCAGAAGGGAACGUGCGGCAAUGGGCGAAAGUCUGACGGAGCAAGGCCGAGUGAGUGAUGACGGUCUUCGGAUCGUAAAACUCUGUUAUUAGGGGAGAACCACUGUGUAAGUAAAUAUGCACGUAUUGACGGUAACUAAUCAGAAAGCAGCGGCUAACUACGUG
rnacentral:rRNA from 1 species